rnacentral:lncRNA from 1 species
UGACAAUUCUUUGCAUAGAAAUGAUCAUUGAAUUCUUGGGAGUUGAUAUGAUCUUGGAGAGAGACAUAGACAAGAGAAGAAAAAGGAGCUCAGGGUAGAACUUUGGAGGUACAUCCACAUUCAGGGUCUGGGACAUGAUGAUGACCAAAUAAAGGAGAUGAAAAAGAGUAGUAAGGAAGAGAAGCAAGAAAAGAGUGUCAUAGAAACCCAGAGAGGAGAGGGUAUCCAGGAGGAGAGAGGAUAACAGAGAAGUAAUUCAAGAAGAAAGAGCACCGAGAAAAGGCCAUGAGGUUUCAAAAGAGAUUAUUGGUUGCUUAACCCAGACUACAAGAGGAAGCAUUUGGGUCUAGCCUCCUGAGUCUCUACAUGGAAUCCUUCAGCCAUUGAGUGGACUUCUGGGCAGAAGUGGCUUUUCAAACCCCAUUUAAGUUUCUUGUUAAGGACAUGACAAGAAGAAAAUUUCUGUUCUUCCCUUUAGGACUCUCCUGUACUUUUAACUCUGACUCCCUCACGUGUGAGGGAGAGAGAGAGAGAGAGAGAGAGAGAGAGAGAGA